rnacentral:rRNA from 1 species
AUGCAAGUCGAGGGGGCAGCAAUGUCACCGGCGAACGGGUGCGUAACGCGUAUGCAACCUGGCCUUAUCAGGGGGAUAGCCCUAGGAAACUGGGAUUAACACCGCAUAACAUAUUUCAUGGCAUCAUGAGAUAUUAAAAUAUUUAUAGGAUAAGGAUGGGCAUGCGUUAGAUUAGCUAGUUGGUGAUGGUAACGGCACACCAAGGCGAUGAUCUAUAGGGGCUCUGAGAGGAGUAUCCCCCACACUGGCACUGAGAUACGGGCCAGACUCCUACGGGAGGCAGCAGUAGGGAAUAUUGGGCAAUGGAGGCAACUCUGACCCAGCCAUGCCGCGUGCAGGAAGACGGUCCUCUGGAUUGUAAACUGCUUUUGAAUGGGAAGAAUAAUUUUCUUGCGAGAGAAUCUGACGGUACCAUUAGAAUAAGCACCGGCUAACUCCGUGCCAGCAGCCGCGGUAAUACGGAGGGUGCAAGCGUUAUCCGGAUUUAUUGGGUUUAAAGGGUGCGUAGGCGGCUUUAUAAGUCGGUGGUUAAAGGCAGCAGCUUAACUGUAUGCAUGCCAUCGAUACUGUAAAGCUUGAGUGAUUUGGAGGUAGCUAGAAUUCCCUGUGUAGCGGUGAAAUGCAUAGAUACGGGGAGGAAUACCGAUUGCGAAGGCAUGUUACUACGAAUUAACUGACGCUGAGGCACGAAAGCGUGGGGAUCAAACAGGAUUAGAUACCCUGGUAGUCC